UACGAAGGGGGCUAGCGUUGUUCGGAAUCACUGGGCGUAAAGCGCACGUAGGCGGUUUUGUAAGUCAGGGGUGAAAUCCCGGGGCUCAACCUCGGAACUGCCUUUGAUACUGCGAGUCUUGAGUCCGAUAGAGGUGGGUGGAAUUCCUAGUGUAGAGGUGAAAUUCGUAGAUAUUAGGAAGAACACCAGUGGCGAAGGCGGCCCACUGGAUCGGUACUGACGCUGAGGUGCGAAAGCGUGGGGAGCAAACAGG
rnacentral:rRNA from 1 species